AGGCAACCAGUGUAGAUAACCUAGCAUUGCCUUGGAUCUUAUCUGGAAGAAAUGCUACAAAAAGUCCAGUGACUCUUCUUGACCUUUGCUUUGGAAAGACAGACAACCUUAACCUGCUAUAUGUGGUAACGUAUUAUAUUUCUUAUUUAACUUCGAGAGAGAUAUGGAAAAAAAAACUGUAAUUAAAAAUUCUGCAUAUUGUAUUUUUUUUAACACUUUUUUGAUAACACCUACUACAAAGUGUUCUCCAGCUGUUCUUCACAACUGUACAACAUACUCACUUGAUAGAGGAAUAUUGGAGGGGAGUGAUCUAUCCCUAAGAUAUAGAUGCAGAUUGACAAUGAAGCCAACUUGACAUUGUUAUAUGCUAAGAGCAGGGGCGGGCUGGGACGGUGGGCAAGGGAGCAAUUGCCCCCAAUGCCGCCCUAAAUCCAGGGCUGCAUCCAGCAAAAAAGGGAAAAAUCCAAUUCCCCUGCCUCUGGCUGGGGACUCUGAUUUUUCAACUUACCUCUCUUCCUGCAGCCAGUGGAGUCGCCCGGCCUCUCCUGGUGAUGUCAGAAGAGGGGGUGUGACUUUCACCUCCUCCUCCUGACAUCACCAGGAGUGGGUGGCCAACUCCACUGACUGCUGGCUGCUGCUCCAUCUGGCUCCUGGCUCCUGCCUACCCCUCCCUGGCCUAAGGUAAGACUUUAGGUUUUUUUUUUUUUUUGUCUUGCUCAGCCUCUGUCCCUUCCUCUGCUCCUGCCCCCCCUCUCAGCUCCUGUCCCCCUUGCUCAGCCCCUUGCCCCCUUACCACAGCCCCCAUAACAUCUCCACUACAGCUCCUGUCCCCCAAUUGCAACUCAUAUUACCCACACCAUAGAUAUUAGGGCUGCCAAUCUUUUAGACAGUGACCUUUCUCCCUUUGACACUUUUUCUGGUGCUUAGGUACUAAGUGGGGAUUUACUAACACCCCAUGCAUUAAAGGGCCAGGACUAAUCAAGCCUAUAUGAAUAUUGCAGACUUAGGUGUUUAGUAACUUUAUCUCCUCACUUACCUUGGCAUGGAAGUAGCCUUAUAAGGCUAGUCCGGUAUUUAUUAUUAUUUGGAGUCAGUUUAUUUUUGUGUUGAUACUCUGGUUAAAUUGUUCCAUACCACUGGAUGCUUUGGUGCCUACGUCUUUAUCUCCAGUCAGCAUUAUAUUCACAGUUUGUGAAUCUUUUCUUCUUUGUUUCUGUUGCUUGUAUCUAGGGUUAAGCCCCUGGGCAUUGCUGGAGUGGCCUCCUGGUGCAAGGGAUCAGUGUGGAGGUGGUGUAUAUUCCCUUUUACACCCAUUUUCACACUUAUCCCAUUUCUUUCUAUUUUUUUCUGUGUGUGUUACUGUCUGUCUAUGUGUGUGCCAGUAUGUCUGUCUAUGUGUGUGCCAGUAUGUCUGUCUAUGUGUGUGCCAGUAUGUCUGUGUGUGUGUGCCAGCCAGUAUGCCUGUGUGUGUGUGUGUGUGUGUGUGUGUGUGCCAGCCAGUAUGCCUGUAACAGUGUGUCUGUGUGACUGUCAGUGAGUGUGUGUGUGUGUUAGUGUGUGUCAAAUCAGCAAGUGUGUGUGCCUGUCAGUGAGCGUGUCUGUUUAGUUGACUGCCGCCCCUCCCUCCUUUAAAUCACAUGGGAAAGGUGUUUUUACUCUCCUCUUGGUGCAAUGGGCCACUUGACUGGAUUUGCCCCCCAGGCCUAAAGCUGCCAGCACUCCCCUGGCUAGGAGACCUUGCUUUGGGAGGUAUUUCCAAGCAGCACAAAUUGGAUAGGAGGGGGACAGGAGGUAAAACUUUAGUGCACCACCCAAAGACCUGGCAUAAGGGAAGAGAAGACAAAUAGUUCUUUAUAACUCAAGUAGCAUUUUUUGUAAAACAAAAAAAAUGAGAUUGCAAUACCAUUGGUUUUAGCGUAGCGGCAUGUGUUUAACUGUCAUGGUAACUAAACAGUUACAAUGUUCAGUACUAGAACUAUGAAUUGUUGUCUUUUUGUUUGAACACAACUCAAGCUAGAACAACCUCUGAUUACGAUAACGGAGUAGUUUCACAAGCUAGAACAACCUCUGAUUACGAUAAGGGAGUAGUUUCACAAGCUAGAACAACCUCUGAUUACGAUAAGGGAGUAGUUUCACAAGCUAGAACAACCUCUGAUUACGAUAAGGGAGUAGUUUCACAUGCUAGAACAACCUCUGAUUAUGAUAAGGGAGUAGUUUGACAAGCUAGAACAACCUCUGAUUACGAUAAGGGAGUAGUUUCACAAGCUAGAACAACCUCUGAUUACGAUAAGGGAGUAGUUUCACAAGCUAGAACAACCUCUGAUUACGAUAAGGGAGUAGUUUCACAAGCAGCCUGGUUUACAUAUUUCUAUGAAAUUGCACCAAAACUGCUUUUUUAAUACCAUGUUUGUUGGUCACUGGGCUGCACGGCUGCUAUGGGAUGUGUUCCAUUGAUUACCUGUCUACUAUUUGAUUGUCAAAGCAAUGUUUACUAUAUGACCUGAAAGUCAAAGGCCAUUGCACAAUUCCAAUUUUUUUUUUAAUUUCCCUCUGGAAUUUUCCAUUGACUGCCAUUGAUAAGCCUACAUGUACACAUAACCGAUGAAACACAAAUUUCUGGCCUCCAUUGUCUAUAUCAUGGGCGUGAGCUUUAUAGAACUGAAGCAAAUUGACGUUGACAGCCUGUGAUAUCCACUGAUCUCACUUGAAAAACAUUAUUGCAAAUUCCGUCUCAGCAGAAGUGCUUUCCUUCCUGAAUAAUUCAUAGCCAUCUCUUCUUCAUAUAGUGCACCUGCUGUCAGGAUUUUACAUUGCUUAUUAAAAUAUGUGCAGCAAGCCUCACAAUUAAGUCUUUUGAGAUCUGCUAUCAUUUUGCUUAGAUGAUGUUUUACAGUGCAUUAUGUUAGGCCUAACAAAAGCAGGUAAAUUUGCAUCACAACGAUAUAUUCUUCAAAGUAAAUGCUGGAGCGCAGGUCACAUCAAGGGUCAAUCAUGAUAAUAUUUGAAUACUAGACAGGAAUAUAAAUGUAUCUUUGCCUUGUAAUAGCUUCCAGAGAUUUUGUAGCGUGGUAUGUUUUUAAAUUUUUACUUUUACAUUUUUUAUACCAAGUCUUGAUGUAAUUGUUGAGGACAAGGAAUGAGGUACUAAAGCCUCUGCUGCUGCUUAUUCAUUCUUUAUUUUUUUUUAAUGCAUUUAUAUUCUUUUUUAUAGUUUGACUUCGCUUUCAUUAGACUAAUUUUGGGAUGGAGGUGGUGUGUGACCGGAUAAUCCUACAGUUUUUUUGUGCUUGUUAUGAUUCUAGGAAAAUGCCCCAGAAAUCUUACCUUUGAAAUAUUGCUUGCUGUGUGACUUUCAUCAUAUCCUCCAGUGUUCACCGUUCCUACCCCUUGACCUCGUAAUGGGGGCACUGAGCAGUAUACAGCACUCUGAUCCUGUCAGGAAACACAGUUUGUUUGUGUGAUGCUGUGCACUUGCAGCAAAGUUCCUACAAGUAUACAGAUUAAAAUGGUAUGAGCAAGCAGUCUAUUUUCACAAAGUCUAAGUACGUGAACUAGUUCAUUUCCAAUAUUGUCACUUUUCUUUUUUAAUGACCAGCCUAUACGUGUAAAAUAUCUGUUGCUUCUGUAUGUAGUGGCUGUUAAUCAAUUGUCAAAUUUCACAAUUAGCUACCGCUGCUGAAAGACAGUCUCUCUCAUUAUUCUUUACUGAAAGAAAAAAACGCUACUUAGUAACUGGUUUCCAACCCUGCUGCUACAUAUUAAUGGAUGCCACUUACCCUCAAACCUUGAUGCCAAACUCUGGCCUGAGGAAAGAAGCUAAUAGACCUAUACAGACCCUAUAUCUAAUACAUAUCAGUUAUCCGGUAUUACACUGAAACCCUCAAACAUAUAUCAAAGUAUAUUAAGCCAUUUCAAAAUACAAUAAAAUAAAUGAAAAGGCCAAACACAUGAUGUAAAAAAAAAUAUAUAUAAUUAUUCUUUAUAAAAUGAAAUUGCAUGUUUCAUUUAAAUGAACAAUACAUACAUUACCCUAAAAAUACAGAACAAUCACCUGUUCCUUAGCAGGUCUUAAAAUUAGGUAAAUACAACCUGAGAAAAACAACACAUGACAUAUUACACUAUGUCAUGAUUUAUUUAACAAAAAUAACGCCAAAAUUGAGAAGCCAUGUGUGAAAAAUGUACACCUCAUGAUUCAAUAGCUUGUCGAACCACCUUUAGAAGUAAUAACGUAAGAUAAUCUUUGUCUGUAUGACUUUAUCAGUCUCUCACAUCGUUGUGGAGGAAUUUUGCCACACUUUUCUUUACAACAUUGCUUCAAUUCAUUGGGGUUUGCCGGAGUUUGUUUAUGCACAGCUCUCUUAAGGUCCCUCCACAGCAUUUCAGGUUGAGGUGUGGACUUUGGGUCAUCGCAACAGCCACUCUGUUGUAGAUUUGCUGGUGUGCUUGGCAUCAUUGUCUUGUUGUAUGACCCAAUUUCGACCCAAUUCUCGAACAGGUUGUCUCACAUUUGAUUCUUGAAUACUUCAGUAUAUAGAGGGGUUCAUGGUCAACUCGAUGAUUACAAGGUUUCCAGGUCCUGUGGCUGUAAAACAAGCUGAAAUCAUCACCCCUCGAUCACGGUGCUUGACAGUUUGUAUGAGGUCUUUGGAAUGAGAUGCUGUUUUUGGUUUUCGCCAAACAUGGCGCUGUGCAUUAUGGCCAAACAUCUCCAUUUUCGUCUCGUCUGUCCAAAGGACAUUGUUCCAGAAGUCGUGGUUGUUCAGAUGCAACUUUGCAAAUCUAAGACGUGCUGGCAUGUUCUUUUUAAAACUAACGAUAGAAAACAUUAGGGAAAUCUGUUCUCCCCCUAAAUGCACUCUGUAGAAACUGACUGGAAACCUUUGAAUCGCUUUUUACAUUUCUAACAUUCAAGUAUUAUAAAGCAGUGUUGUUGGUUGUCAUUCCCCACUUUCAUUUUCUCUGCCCUUGAAAACCUGCCAUAAUUAGACUGUACAAUCUUAACAACAUGUAUGCAUAUUGUAUAUACUAGUUAUAUUUUUUUUCUCCACUUUUUUCCCUUCUUUCUCAGUUAAAAAAAAAUAAAAAUGUUCAUCAAGUGCUGAAAUAGUUUGAAACAUCCUUUAUGGACUUCAUUAUAAAACAUGCUGUUUUUCAUUAUUUCACAAAAUUUAUAUUUAUUUAAAAAACAGUCACGGGUGGUAGUGGUUACAAUGUUUGUUUAAGCUUGUGGUAUCUUUGCCAGUCCUAAUUUACUAUGCUUUCAAUUAAAUGUAUUUAUUUUUUAACUACUUGGGCAAGAAAGCACAAUGUGCCUAGUAUGAAGAAAACAAUUACAUUUUCUGCUUAGUAUUUUAGUUUUCUGCUUUGUUUUUUUUUGUUACCUGAAAUAUAUUAGGGGUGUAUGUUGCUUGUCAGGAUUUCUUCCCUUCCCUUCCAUAGGGAAUAUUUAAACAGUUAACGUUAAAUAUUAUUAACACAUUAAGUGGAAUUUGCUGAAUGUGCUGAAAUACAUCUUACUGUGAUUUCCCCAACAUUAAUUAGCCUUUGACAAUUCUGAUCUGUUUGUUUCAGUUACUAUUGGCAUUGUUUAAUGAGUCCCACCUUUUCCUCUCUAUAAAAAGAGAUGUUUCUGUCUGUCCAUCAUAACCACUCGACUUAUUAUUUUUGUUGUUUGUUUUAUUUUGUUGGUGGGGUGGGUUGUAUUGUGAAACCAUCUUAAGGGGUUCAACAAGAGCUGGGGCUCUUACAACGCACCACACGCAACCUCCCUGCUGCCACCAAGAUAAUGCACAAGUUUCACUUCUGACAUCUAUACAAAUGUGUCCAGGAUUGGAGAGCAAUAAUAAGCUGUGAGCACAUGGGGUAAGGCUAGCUCAGAGCUCACAGCUAUGACAUUCAAGGGCCCAUUUAAGAUUUAAGAGCAGGGGUGCCACAAGUAGAUUGCCAGCCAUUACAAACUACAUGUCCCAUGAAAUCUUACCAAUAAAAUCUUAUAAGGCUGACAAAGCACCAUGGGAAGUAUAGUUCUGGAACAACUAAGAAUCUACUUCCUGGCCACCCUGGUUGUUUUUAGUGUAUAAAUCGCAACUGUUGGCUGUUUCCAACCUUUUCACUUUCUGUAAACUGCUGAUCUUCUAUUCUGAUAAGAAAAACAAUUUCAAAUUGGAGAUGUUUUUCUUUAAAAACUGACUUACCUACAAAGGAAUGUAUCAAAACGUAUGAUUAGGAAUUAAUUAAAAUGACAUAAAAAAUGAACAAAAAACCCAGCAAAAAUAUAAAUGUUUAUUUGAGGCUUUAUUCAAAGAAGGUGCAUUUACUGUAGUGUGACUAAUGGCCUCUAGUUGUAUUUAUAUUGGAGGGAACUGUCAUACCCACUCAUUCUACAUAGACUGGAUUAUUAUCUAAACCAGGAAGCACUGAGCAUAUACCCGCACGCCGUGGGCUAAAAUAUCCAAACAUUAAACGUUCUCUAACUUGGCUAUUUUUCAAUUUCUGCUUUUUAGCCAAAAAAAUGAAAUUCCCUUGUUAAUCCCAGUUUAGUAAAUAGUACUGUGACUUGGGGUCAUAUCUUAAGUAUUAUAGAAGCAUAUAGAUCAUUGGCAAUGUUUCAUAUUUCACAUUUACUAUCAUAGUGCUCCAGGGUGACUUUUGGUUUCCAGAGGAUGCACAGGAAUACUGUGUUGUCACACUCACAAGAGAAGAUACACCUUAAGGGGCUUUAACUACACAGAACUGUUUUAUCUUAUAUGUCUAAGAUGAAGGUCUUUUUUUUCAAGAAGCCCAGCAUUCCCCACUAAAUAAUUGUUUUUAGUCUUCUACAGUUCAUGCAUGUGUCGACUUGCAUAAUAUUAAUACCCAGAAGAUGGCACACCCAAUGGCAACUUGCUAAUUUUCUAUGCACGCCCACCUAUAGCUUUAAAACACUAUUAUUUGGUUCCGCAGGCCUUGGAACAGACUAUUAUUUUGCAAAUAUAAUGUCUACUUACCAUGUGGCAAAUGUCAGCACCUGCUCAAUCCAAAGCAAUGUUGAAAGACUGUGUCUAGAAUAGUUCCAGAAUGCUGUGUAAAAUAAGUAAAUUAGCAAUUCUAUUAUUUAGAUUUUAUGUCCAUAUUUGUGUAGACUUCCUUUAAUUUCUGUAGUCGUACUUUGCAUCAUUAUUGGUAAACCUUUGGAACCUACGGUGCAUAUUCAAGCACAUGAAGAUCUGAGAUUGGCACUCAGUGUCUAAUACGCCAUGUACCCUGGAAGCCUAAAUUAAAUAUGGAAAACCAAGGUAAUGCUGAUAAGUAAAUACGUAUGAGGCUUGGUUGGUAAUACAGAUAUUAAAUUUUUAUUCCCUGUAUUAAAUUAGGUAAGGAUCUACUGAUAUUAAAAAAGGAGGUGUACCUAGGUGACAUGGCACUCUGUGUGAAAAUCUAUUUUAUAACCACCCCACCCCACCCAAACCAAAAAACUAAAAAAGUGUCCCCUUCAGCAGCACCCCCAAGACCCUGUUGUUAGUGAAAAUAGACUCACAUGCUGACAUUCACACACCUACACAUUUUUGUAUACACAUGCAUUCCUAUACACAUGUAUACAGACACACAUGUUGACAUAUAUAAACACAUACACAGACUGACACACAUUAAUAUACACACACUGAUUUAUACACACAUUAAUAUGCACACGCAUACAUGUAUAUCCAUACGCAUACACCAGUUUUUGUUGUUGUAUUUUUAUUAUGAUUUUGUCCACUCAGCCUCUCUUUUCUUGCCUUUAAUGGGAGAGCUCGACUGUAACCUCAACCCUGGUGUCGAGUGGGGAAGUUAAGAAAUCAGUGUCUGUACUGAUUGCCCAGCUUCUUGCAAGCUCACUGCAACUCUGUACUGAUGGUGGGACUGGGGUGACGUUUAACUGGGGCUCCAGUUUCAGUAUAGGGUGCACAAAGGAUAUCAUAUGGCUAUUCCCAGCAGCUCACUCGUGCCAGCUCCGGAGCCACAGUGACAGACCAGGCACCUGCCGUGUGACAGCUUUGCAAGUAAUGUUUUGUGUGCUCUAUGUACCCCUCUGCUGUCUUUCACUUUGGGGAGAGCACUGCGGUCAUUCGAACGCAGCAGAAAGCCUUAAUACAGUGUGGUCUCAUGGUGUGGCUUAUUACCAAUGUUGUUACUCGAAACAGAUGAUUACUGAACUCAUUCUUGUUUUUGUAUUUUUUUCAUAAAAUUAAAUAAUGCAUCUUCUGGGUAAUACCUCUCAAAUAUUUUUCUUAAUAUGUCAAACAAUUGGUAAAUGGUUUGACUACUUACAUUGGGAGGGCACCAAGACACUCCUGGUACCAUAACUACUACAAUGUGCUUUAGUGGCUACGCUGCUUGGAUAGCUCAAUUAAAUGGAGCCUGUGUAAUAACAAAAAUGAGGCAGUUCUUAUUUAGCAUGUGGCAGAAGCAACACUGGCAGAAAGGGAAUAGUCAUGUUUUUACAGUUUUUAGUGUGCAUUCAUAUAAAUGGUAGGAAUAAUUAAUGGGUGUCAUAAAAACAGAAAAUGAAUGACUAGUAACUCCGUUUUAAUCCUUAGUAACGUGGUCAAUAUGAAAAUAUAUUGACCCCAUGGUUAAAAAUAGUUUUAACAUUUUUAUUUGAACUCGCACAUACACGAAAAUUAAAUGAAAGAAUCAAUACAUUUAAUUGGAACAUAGACACAAAUAAAACUAAAAUACCUUUACCUUAAAGCUUAAAAUAUUAAAAAAUAAAUAAAAACCUCCUAACUUUCCCAGGGUUUGGCAAUUUUCCUAAAAUACAAACUUAACAAAAUAUAUUAUAACAUGUAUGACUUUGUUGAAUUUCAACACUGUUACUAUAGCAACCUUAACACAAAGGAAACACAGGUAUUUAUCUUAGCCACAUGUGGCUAGAACAUUCCUUUUAAUAAUAUACCCCACCAACCCUUUUACACAGUGGGUGUCAGAAGAAAGUCCCCCAAGCACCAGGUCGAUAAACUGAAGAUUCUCUGUUUUCCUCACCUGAGAGAGCACAGAAUAUUUCUUAUCAGACAGUACUCUUUGUAGAUGGUGUCCAGUGCUACCUAGUUCAUUUUUGCUAUUAGUAUGCAGUUGUUUGAUAUAUGGGCAAUUAUAUUUCUCAUUUAUAUUAUUUCAAUCAGGUAACCUUUGUGGUUCUUAGCAUGAUUUUCUUUGCGGCCCAAAUGAUUAAAUUAAUAGAGACCCAUUGUUAAAGUGUAUUAUAAUCAUCAUUCAAAUUAAUUUAGCAGAGCACCUAAUUCGACUCAAAAUUAUUGAAUCAAAAUUAUUUCCACAGCGCUUGGGAAGUCAAUACCGCUACAGAAAACAAUUUAAUUGGAGCUUGAAAAGAGUGGUACCCUGCUCUUUCCUCCACUCCAUCCUCUCCUUUUCCUUCGUCUAUUAAUAUUUUUACAAUUUUUUAUUUAUUUAUUUAAAUUAAACAUUAUGAGAGCAGGACACUGAUCUUGAUACAACAGGUUCAUAUUGUCUCAAUAAUAGCCAUCUUAAGGAAAAGUAAUACGCUUUGUAUUUAAAGAAUUCUAAACUCAACUGCAGGACAUAUACUAUAGAUUUUAUUAUUAGCAUAUUAUUUAAUUACUAUCUCCUUUAUGAUAUAUAGUUCAUUUAACAUGUUAAGUGUCUAAUCUUAAUAAAUCUAAAAAAUCUCAGGCACUCACUGUGAUAUGUUCAAUGCAGUUUUUAUUGGAUCUGCAACGUUUCGACCUGUACCCAGGUCUUUGUCAAGCUUGAUAAAGACCUGGGUACAGGUCGAAACGUUGCAGAUCCAAUAAACAUAUCACAGUGAGUGCCUGAGAUUUUUUCAUUUAUGUAGAUUCUAUGGGGCUUGCUGACCCAUGCUCAGUGCACCCUGUGUUAAUUUUUUUUGAUUGAGUGCAACCCUCCUUUUUCUCUUAAGUGUCUAAUCUUAGACUGAUGCUUAUUAUGUCUAAUGUGUACACUGUAAUUUUAUAUCUGCCUCUUUUAAAUACAGAUUUUAAAAGAUUAAAAAAUAAAUGGAGGGGGCACAGCCUGAUUGUACAUUUUCCAAUAGAGGUGCUGAUUGUAAGUCUUAAUUUUAUACCAAAUGCUCUCUGGACACACACAAUAAAAUGUAUUUUUACACCCUGGCAUUGUUUAAAGUUGAUACUUUUGUUUUUUUACAAAUGGGAUUAUCCUUGACAAUAUUUUUUUUUUUUUUUUUUUCGAAGCACCUGCUUACAGUCAAACAGUGGGAUUCUUUUGUUCUGAUGUCAGUGGUCUUGUUUAAAAUCUUUGUGUUUACUUUCUUAUUUUAGGCUGCUCUUCUCUAAACCAUCUAUCUUCGUCCACACUUUGAAAGUUGUUGGUAUAUUCAUUUCAAAAGCCACACAGUCUUGCUAUUUGUUGUUUUUAAUACUUAGAUCAUAAUCCCUUCACGUGUUGCUUACAGAUGGCUUUCAGAGAGGCUUGUCGAGAGCCUGGAGUGUGAAGGAUGCUUUAAUUCCUCGAUGUUUGUUUUAUUGUCAACAGAUAUCGGAUUGUUUCUGCAGGUGUUUCUUCAAACUAUGCCUGGAAUUCUACCUUUAAUAACUACCUCAUAAUUCCUUGCAAUGUUUCUUGUGUAUUUACCAGUAGGGUGCUUUUCAAACUAUAGCUUGGUUGCUGCCUCUAAGUGUGUGCUUGGAGAUACUCUGGAGAGGUUUACUGAUUCUUCAACUGUCUAAGAUUUUGCUAGGAUUUUUCUUUUUACUGUUACAGGUGAGAUUCAUCUAUAGGAAAGGUUACUGAUUGUACAAGGUUUGCUUUCCUGUUGGUAUUUGGUAAGGCAUUUGAUUAGCUAGGUACUUGCUAUUGAUUGCUGGUUAAUUAGCUUCUGUUUGCAGAUAUGCAUAGGCCUACCCAGGUAUUAAACAUUCCUAGUGAGUGGUGCUUUUAGGAGUUAUACAAGGGGUGUGGUCAUUAGUUUGGCUAAUAUAGCUUGGUUGCUGCUUCAAAUUGUGUGCUUGUAUUUAAAAUGGAGGUAAUUUGAGGUAUACAGGAGGACAUCAUUUUUUAAAGUUAAGAUUUGUUUGAUUUAAAACAAGGAUUUUUUUUUGUUUAAAUUAAAAUAAGGAUUAGUUAGAUAAAAAAAAAAAAAAGGAAGGUAUCUAGAAGAGGAUAAAGGUCUAGCUGACUGCUAGCUGAAUAUUUUUGUUCAGUAUUUACAGUUGAAAAUGAAGGAGCCUCAGUUAGGAAAAAGGACAGAUUAGUCAUUUGUUACAUGUGGGUUUACAGUGGAAGAGGUUCUAUUUCAACUAUCAAAAGAAAAGACAAAUAAGUUAAUAGGGCCUGAUGGAAUACACCCAAAGUUAUUAAAAGAGCUUAGUGAUGUACUAGCGAAACCACUAACAGAUUUAUUUAACCAAUCAUUGUUAACAGGAGUAGUCCCAGAAGAUUGGAAGUUAGGAAAUGUUAGCAAAUGUAGUGGGGAAAGUAAUGGAAACUGUGUUAAAGGAUAGGAUUUUUGCACAUUUGAAAUCACACGGAUUUCAAGAUCAGAGACAACAUGGGUUUAUGUCAGGGAGAUUAUGCCAAACUAAUCUUAUUGAUUUUUUUAAAGGGUUACUAAAAUAAUAGAUCAUGGUGAUGCAGUAGACAUUGCUUACCUAGAUUUCAGUAAGGCUUUUGACACUGUUGCAAAUAGAAGGUUAUCAAUAAACUGCAAGUUUGGAUUCCAAUAUUGUUGAAUGGAUAAGGCAGUGUCUGAGUGCUAGGCAACAGAGGGGUGUAGUCAAUGGAGUAUAUUCGAAGCAUGGUCUUGUCACCAGUGGGGUACCUCGGAGAUCUGUACUUGGACCCAUUCUCUUUAAUACUUUUAUUAGUGAUAUUGCAGAAGGUCUUGAUGGUAAGGUAUGUCUUUUUGCUGAUGAUACUAAGAUAUGUAACAGGGUUGAUGUUCCAGGAUGGAUAAGCCAAAUGGCAAAUGAUUUAGGUAAACUAGAAAAAUGGUCAGAGUUGUGGCAACUGACAUUUAAUAAGGAUAAGUGCAAGAUAAUGCAUCUUGGACGUAACCUCAACAUCUGAGGAAAGGGAUUUAGGGGUAAUUAUUUCAGAUGACUUAAAGGUAGGCAGACAAUGUAAUAGAUCAGCAUGAAAUGCUAGCAGAUUGCUUGGUUGUAUAGGGAGAGGUAUUAGCAGUAGAAAGAGGGAAGUGCUCAUGCCAUUGUACAGAACAUUGGUGAGACCUCACUUGGAGUAUUGUACGCAGUACUAGAGACUGUAUCUCCAGAAGGAUAUUAAUACUUUAGAGAGAGUUCAGAAAAGGGCUACUACACUGGUUCAUGGAUUGCAGGAUAAAACUUACAAGGAAAGGUUAAAGGAGAUUAACAUGUAUAGCUUGGAGGAAAGACGACAAGAGGACAUAGUCUUAAAUUAGAGGGGCAAAGGUUUCAAAAUAAUAUCAGGAAGUAUUACUUUACUGAGAGGGUAGUGGAUGCAUGGAAUUGCCUUCCAGCUGAAGUGGUAGAGGUUAACACAGUAAAGGAGUUUAAGCAUGCAUGGGAUAGGCAUAAGGCUAUCCUAGAUAUACGAUAAGGCCAGGGACUAAUGCAAGUAUUUAUAAAAUUGGGCAGACUAGAUGGGCGGAAUGGUUCUUAUCUGCCAUUACAUUCUAUGUUUCUUUCAGUCGUGUUUUAUUGCGUCUAAACGCGCUUGUUAUUAUUACACUACAUCAUUUCAUAAACAGCCGUUGUAUUAUGUAAAUUAUGUGUAACAGCUUAAAAGGAGUUUAUGCGUUGCUGAUGAAAGGUUCUUUUUCUUUUUAUUAUCAACUCUGUAUCGGUGAAUUUACCUGUGACUUUAUCUGUAAAAAAUGUAAUUAUUUGGUUGCUACAAGUAGUUUACCUUUCAGAUUAAUUUACAGAACCUAAACCAUAAAACACAAGAACUAAUCAAUGUUUUUUCUUGUUUCCGUUACAAUAAUUUCAAAGAGUGCAACACACACUAUAUAAAGUCACUUUACAUUACCUGCAGCUGUUUUGUGUGCAUAUCCUGUAUGUCUCUCUAAAUUUCUAAUUGUAGACGUUCAAUUUACAGCUAAAGUCCAAGAGCACACAGUGUGGUGCGAUCAGAAGCCACCAUCCCCAAUACAACUCCUUCUUCCCAAUUUUAAUUCCUCAAGUAAUUACCCAUUAGCCCCUCAUGCUCUGUGCGGAUUGGUUGUUGACCCACCCCCCCCCAGAUUUUUGACCAUGUUCCCUCUAGCCAAUUCAGUCUUCUACACUGAAACAUUGAGAUGUUAAUUACUCGCAAAUUGCAUAUGUCAACAAUAAAAUAGAGCAAAAAUAUUUAUCUACGUAUUUUUAUCUAUUACUUUUUUAUUAAGACACAACUGCUGUAAGCAUUUUUAUUAUUGCACCACCCAUGUAAGGGCAGAUGGAUAUAGCUCCAAAUUGGGAUCUAGGGGUAUUUUUUUUGUUUCUUUGUUUCUUCUGCUGAUAAUGCAUUGGUGCUGGGCGACAUUACAUGCUGCAAAUGAAGACAUUCUAUUUGUGUCAUUUAUUUUUGCAAUCGCAGAUCACUGAUCUCUGUCUCCCCUAUCGAGAAAUUACUUGCGCAUUUAUUUCUAAUAAAUUAAAAACUGAACUUUCUCAUGCAUUAUAAUGGUUCAAUAAUUUAAACUUUUAACUACAUUUUGGCCAAUAAUUUAUUCAAUAUUUAUCUAGUUUACUACUGUUCAUUAGUUUAAAUAGGUCAUAGGUUCACCCAUGCAUGGGCAAAGCACAAUUUUAACUGUUACAUAGAAACAUUGUCCAUAAUUAUAUCACACAUAUAAAUGGAGGUGAAAUAUGAGAUAAUUAAAAUGGUAAAAUAUUAAAUUUUGUUGUUUUAUUAAGCAUACAAUGUAGCAAAGAUUAUUAUAUUGUAGGCUUUGUUCUCACGGUUUGGACAGCAGGAGAACCCAUUUUUGUUUUUCUUCAAUGCAAUGCAUAUUUGUGUCGUUCUAUUACAAAUUUAAAACUAUAUACAGAAAAAGAAAAAAUGUAGUGAUAGUGCACAGCUAUGUAAAUGUGUUACUUGCAUUAUUCACAAAUGAUCUAAAAAAGAUAGAAAAAAAAUCACAAGUGUAGCGGAAUGGGCUUCGCCACAGUACCUUCAUGUUGCUAAGGGCUGUCCACCCACCGUUUUUUUGUUACUUUAUUUCGGUUACCUUCCCUGUUGGUUAAUUGUGGAAACAAGUAACAAUAUAAUAUUGACCAUGGGGUUCGACAAACGAACCAACUACUGAACAACCAGGCCACGCAGGAGAGGAGUGUGGCAUUAACUGACCUCCCUAACUUGGUUCACACUAUUUUAAUUCCCAACUGCACAAACUAACUGGGUGUUCCCUGGGUGGCUGCCGUUUGUCAUACGAACACGUGGCGGCGGCCAUCUUAGCAUACGAAUUACACCAGCGGUGUUUGGUCGUCGAGUGUCUGGAACCUAAAUCAGACACGCGAUGGCAUGAACCUCGCAUAAGUUUGUGGGAACUCAAGGGAACAGAGCGGUGUUUGGUAAAAAGAAUCAUACGAACGAGAGGAAUUAAACGAACAAAGACAUGAACCAUUCUGUUAUAUAUUUUCAUGCAUUUCAACCUCCUGAACGGAGACUUCCAUAAACUUUCGUACCUCUGAACCGAUCUGGGUGAUUUUUCAGUGUGUUGCUCCCCCAGAUCGGGGCUUUCAGGGGAUGUUUGAAUUAUGAAUGUAGGAUAUGUUUUUUGGGGUAUUUCCAGAAAAGUACGAAAAUUUAGAUUUUUCUGUUUUGGGAAAAUUGAGUUGAUACAGUAAUUAACUCAAUUGUCCCCUGAGCAGAGGGGAGGGAUUGUGUGUAAUGACCUUACUCUGUGUUUAUUGGUUGUUGUAUAUUUUUAUCGGUGCCCCACAAGGUCCACCUGGGUGGUAACCUUUGGGUCAAAACCUGCAUAAAGGCCAGCCUGGCCAUUAAAGGUUCGGUUCUGCUCCUAAUACUGAGUGUCGUCCAGUUAUUGGGAAGGAUGAUGGGAUAUUCGUGUAUUAUCUUGUACUUAUGCCUGCUGUCUUGAAGUUUCCUGUUUGUUCCCGAGUAGCUGUUGAAGUAGAGAAGAAGCCCUGCUACCACUGCUCUCCGCUACAUCAUAGCUUAGUAUAUCUGUAAAUAUGAGUGAUAAAUAGCACACAGUUAUACAUUCUUGUUCUUCUGAGCCACAAAUAUCAGCUAAGAUAAAGAGCAGGGUAUUGUAUACUCCAAUACAAUUUAUGUUACCUCCUAGAUAGAAAGGCUCUCAAACAGAAGUGAUAUAGACCAAAUCAUGGUAUAAUUAUAAACAUUUAUAAAGCACUCACAUUAGUAUCUUACUUCUCAGUUUCCAGGAUCAUGCACGAUUAAAAUGAUUGCAAUGAGACUAUCUUUUCACUAAAACAAAACUCUAUAGAGGGUAUAUAUGACCCACCUUAUGUGACUGUGUUUGUGCUGAUCUGAUAGAGUAGUGAUUCCUGGACUGGCUCACUGAGUCAUUGCCUGGAUUAUCUCUUCAAUAUCACCCGCUCAGAUGGGCAGGAAUCCAAUAGGCAGCAAGUCUUGUUACUGGUAGUUGGGCAGCACAACGCUGUGCAGAUAGGGUCCAUGUGUUGGGCGACUCACUUGACUCACGAGUCAACAGUGAAAGCUCAAUGAGCCAAAUGUGGCUCCUAAAUCAUCGUAAUUAGGAACUGUGAUGUAGAUAAGUGUUCUCUCCAACCUGUUCUGCCCAUAUGUUGUUUAAACACAAUGCGGGAGAUUUAUUAAGGCUAAUGCAGGUUAUAUUAUGGGGUCUAUUUUGCCCUUAAAAUCUCCACCCUUCCGAUAUGAAAUAUGCACACCACAGACAACUAAUAAAUUGUUUAUUGAACUAUAAACACAAAUGCUUCCAAUUGAUGAAAAACAAAAAGAAAAUAAGCAGAACAAAUACAAACAAAAUCUCUCAAUAUUCAAGAGAAAUUCCAUAUGUAGACUAAGACUCUCUUACAGUAGCUUUUUGGUGUAUCUCUUCAUAUGUGAAACACAGAUCAUGCCACAAAAUGUAUGGCGGUUUAUUUUUAUUUUUUAUCAAACUGGAAUACUGACACAGCAUUAUUUUUAUUGCCAAGAAUGUUAUCCAGAGCUUGAAUAGGUGUAUUUUUCUAGAUGCUCAAUGAUGGGGAUCUACACAAGGUGUCAUUGACCCAAACAUUCUAUACACACAUUCUAUGGCACACUAAAGCAUGGCAACUUUUUAUAAUGAAUGGAAAUGCUGGAUGCAUUUGCCCCUAUUAAAUUUCUACUUAACCUGGCACUAAACUGAACUCACAUUUAGUAGAAAAAGAGUCUUUGUACGUGCAUGAUUAGAUUGCAUCUGUAACAAUGUUUAUGCUUUGUGUCUUAUUACUUUUGACAGAGUGCUUUGGAAGGAAAACUUAGCACAUUGUUCAGACACCUGCAUGCUACAAGACAAACAUUGAGCCUUAUUUUAGCCCCUGGGCCAGAGUCUCCGGAGUCGAGUCAUCACAUACUACCGACUGUUUUUUAU